rnacentral:misc_RNA from 1 species
AUGCACAGAUAUUGAUGAAUGCAAAGAUCCAACAUAUGGUCAGUGUCAAGGAAUAUUAAGAUGUGUAAAUACUCGUGGAUCUUACAAAUGUGUACCAGAUGCAAAAUGGAUUAUCAUUUUUGGUCUUUGCGCUGGCAUUAUAGUAUUGUUUGUACUCAUACUUGGCGCAAGAUGUUUAUAUAAAUCAGUAAAGAAAAGAAACAACAUCAGGAGGAGGGAAAAGUUCUUCAAAAGAAUGUUACAGCAACAAAUAAGUUCAAGCCAAGGCAAUGUUGAGAAGGCCAAAAUAUUUAGCUUAAAAGAGUUGGAAAAGGCAACUGAUCACUUCAAUGUGAAUAGAAUUAUAGGCCAAGGUGGCCAGGGUACUGUUUACAAAGGAAUGUUGGCGGAUGGAAGAAUUGUAGCAGUUAAGAAAUCCAAGAUAGUAGAUGAAGCAAAAGUUGAACAUUUCAUUAAUGAAGUUGUGAUUUUAUCACUUAUUAAUCACAGAAAUGUGGUAAAGCUACUUGGAUGUUGCUUGGAGGCAGAAGUUCCUCUGCUUAUCUAUGAGUUCGUCUCUAAUGGAACACUUUUUCAGUAUCUGCAUGAACAAGAUGAGGAAUUUCCAUUAUCAUGGGCAACUCGUUUGCAAAUUGCUACAGAAAUUUCAGGAGCACUUUCCUAUUUGCACUCUGCAGCACCUAUACCAAUAUUUCAUCGGGACAUCAAGUCAAAAAAUAUACUCUUGGAUGAAAAGUAUAAGGCAAAAGUAUCAGAUUUUGGAAU